GACGAACGCUGGCGGCGUGCCUAAUACAUGCAAGUAGAACGCUGAAGCGAGGAGCUUGCUCUCCUUGGAUGAGUUGCGAACGGGUGAGUAACGCGUAGGUAACCUGCCUCGUAGCGGGGGAGAACUACUGGAAACGAUAGCUACUACCGCAUAACAAUGGAUGCCACAUGACAUUUAUGUGAAAGGGGCAAUUGCUGCACUACAAGAUGGACCUGCGUUGUAUUAGCUAGUAGGUGAGGUAAUGGCUCACCUAGGCGACGAUACAUAGCCGACCUGAGUGGGUGAUCGGCCACACUGGGACUGGAGCAAGGCCCCGAAUCCCACGGGGAGCCACAGGAGGGAAACUUCGGCCAUGGGGGGAAAGCUGACCGAAGAACGACGGGGUGGUGAAGGAGGUUCUCGGAUCGGUAAGCUCCGUUUGAAGUGAAGAACGGGUGGGAGAGUAGAAAGUUGACGCUGUGACGGUAGCUAACGAGAAAGCGACGGCUAACUACGUG
rnacentral:rRNA from 1 species